AGCUCCAAUAGCGUAUAUUAAAAUUGUUGCGGUUAAAAAGCUCGUAGUUGGAUCUGCGGCAUUUUGGAUCUCGGUCCCAUAUAGUUGUGGUGUACUGAGUAUCCGUGCCUACCUCUCUGAUAUUCGUCGGAUGCUCUUAAUCGGGUGCCGAUGCGAUCAGACAGUUUACUUUGAAAAAAUUAGAGUGCUCAAAGCAGGCGUUUCGCCUGAAUAGUGGUGCAUGGAAUAAUGGAAUAGGACCUCGGUUCUAUUUUGUUGGUUUUCGGAACUCCGAGGUAAUGAUAAAGAGGGACAGACGGGGGCAUUCGUAUUGCGACGUUAGAGGUGAAAUUCUUGGAUCGUCGCAAGACGGACUACUGCGAAAGCAUUUGCCAAGAAUGUUUUCA
rnacentral:rRNA from 1 species